rnacentral:rRNA from 1 species
GACGAACGCUGGCGGCGUGCUUAACACAUGCAAGUCGAACGGAAAGGCCCUGCUUUUGUGGGGUGCUCGAGUGGCGAACGGGUGAGUAACACGUGAGUAACCUGCCCUUGACUUUGGGAUAACUUCAGGAAACUGGGGCUAAUACCGGAUAGGAGCUCCUGCUGCAUGGUGGGGGUUGGAAAGUUUCGGCGGUUGGGGAUGGACUCGCGGCUUAUCAGCUUGUUGGUGGGGUAGUGGCUUACCAAGGCUUUGACGGGUAGCCGGCCUGAGAGGGUGACCGGCCACAUUGGGACUGAGAUACGGCCCAGACUCCUACGGGAGGCAGCAGUGGGGAAUAUUGCACAAUGGGCGGAAGCCUGAUGCAGCAAAGCAGCGUGCGGGAUGACGGCCUUCGGGUUGUAAACCGCUUUCGCCUGUGACGAAGCGUGAGUGACGGUAAUGGGUAAAGAAGCACCGGCUAACUACGUG